rnacentral:rRNA from 1 species
CCUACGGGUGGCAGCAGUGAGGAAUAUUGGUCAAUGGACGAGAGUCUGAACCAGCCAAGUAGCGUGAAGGAUGACUGACCUAUGGGUUGUAAACUUCUUUUAUAUGGGAAUAAAAUGUUCCACGUGUGGGAUUUUGUAUGUACCAUAUGAAUAAGGAUCGGCUAACUCCGUGCCAGCAGCCGCGGUAAUACGGAGGAUCCGAGCGUUAUCCGUAUUUAUUGGGUUUAAAGGGAGCGUAGGUGGAUUGUUAAGUCAGUUGUGAAAGUUUGCGGCUCAACCGUAAAAUUGCAGUUGAAACUGGCAGUCUUGAGUACAGUAGAGGUGGGCGGAAUUCGUGGUGUAGCGGUGAAAUGCUGAGAUAUCACGAAGAACUCCGAUUGCGAAGGCAGUUCACUGGACUGCAACUGACACUGAGGCUCGAAAGUGUGGGUAUCAAACAGGAUUAGAUAACCUGGUAGUC